rnacentral:rRNA from 1 species
CCUACGGGAGGCAGCAGUGGGGAAUCUUGCACAAUGGGGGCAACCCUGAUGCAGCGACGCCGCGUGAGUGAAGAAGGAUUUCGGUAUGUAAAGCUCUAUCAGCAGGGAAGAAGAAAGACGGUACCUGACUCAGAAGCCCCGGCUAACUCCGUGCCAGCAGCCGCGGUAAUACGUAGGUGGCACGCGUUAUCCGGAUUUACUGGGUGUAAAGGGAGCGUAGACGGCUGUGCAAGUCUGAAGUGAAAGCCCAGGGCUUAACCCUGGGACUGCUUUGGAAACUGUGGAGCUAGAGUGCUGGAGAGGUAAGUGGAAUUCCUAGUGUAGCGGUGAAAUGCGUAGAUAUUAGGAGGAACACCAGUGGCGAAGGCGGCUUACUGGACAGUAACUGACGUUGAGGCUCGAAAGCGUGGGGAGCAAACAGGAUUAGAUACCCUUGUAGUC